rnacentral:misc_RNA from 1 species
UUUCCGUAGGUGAACCUGCGGAAGGAUCAUUAACGGAGAGAUAUUUGCGCUGGGUGGGCGUGGUUGUGGUGUGCGAUGUGUCGUGCACUAUGCCUGCCCCCUGGACGAUUACGCUUUUAAACAUACUUUUUGUCAUAUUGCAAAUCAAACAAACAUUACUUUCAACAAUGGAUCUCUAGGCUCCCGCAUCGAUGAAACGCAGC